CCAAUAGCGUAUAUUAAAGUUGUUGUGGUUAAAAAGCUCGUAGUUGAACCUUGGGCCUGGCUGGCCGGUCCGCCUCACCGCGUGUACUGGUCCGGCCGGGUCUUUCCCCCUGUGGAACCCCAUGCCCUUCACUGGGUGUGGCGGGAAAACAGGACUUUUACUUUGAAAAAAUUAGAGUGCUCCAGGCAGGCCUAUGCUCGAAUACAUUAGCAUGGAAUAAUAGAAUAGGACGUGUGGUUCUAUUUUGUUGGUUUCUAGGACCGCCGUAAUGAUUAAUAGGGACAGUCGGGGGCAUCAGUAUUCAAUCGUCAGAGGUGAAAUUCUUGGAUUGAUUGAAGACUAACUACUGCGAAAGCAUUUGCCAAGGAUGUUUUCAUUAAUCAGGAACGAAAGUUAGGGGAUCGAAGACGAUCAGAUACCGUCGUAGUCUUAACCAUAAACGAUGCCGACUAGGGAUCGGUGAACGUCGAAUGUGACUUCAUCGGCACCUUAUG
rnacentral:misc_RNA from 1 species